UUAAAACCUUUCUUUUUUUUUAGCACAGCGACAUAAAUAUGACCAACCAGAUCCCAAGUAGACAGGAACAAAUGAAGAUAUAGCUCAUAGAAAGACUUAUUCUUGGUGAUCAACUGCUAUUGACAUUUUUGAAUCGGGACAAUUGUGGAGUGAUUCGGAAGAAAAACGUUUGCAACACAUCCAUUCCAGGUGGCUAAUUUCUGUCCUUUUGAAUUAUUCUUGUAAAAACCGUUUGUUUUUAUUGUAAAGCUGUAAGGGACUUGGCCUAGUCAUCCUUGCAUAUACCAUUUGGCAGGGCACCAGACUAACUUUUUUUACUAGGAGCACAGUGGCCCCCAACUGAAAAUUUUAGGGGCGCAACCAGAAAAUUAAGGGGCACACACGGUAAAACAACAUGCUAACCAAAUAUUCACAUGUCUACUAAUUUAUACUGUAUUACUAAUAAAUACUUAAAUUAUAGAUUCAGAAAGUACAAUGUACUUUUUCAAAUUCAGUGUCAAAUCACAAAAAAAGGUCAAAUUUGCUGGUCACACAUGUGCGACCGGAUGUAAAAUUCAGUGGCACACUCUCAAAUUUUGGUGGCCACCAUUUGAUAGCAGUCUGGAGCCCUGUUUGGCAUCAUUUCUGAUUUCCUUAAAUCUCCUUAAACAGAGGUGAACCUUAAGUUUGCAAGACCACAAUAGACAAACAAUGGAAAAUGAUCUAGGUUCAAAUAAAACACAAUUAUCAAUGUAAAACAUAUCCUGUAAUACACACAGGUUGUUUUAUUUCAUGAGCCUGUUCUAAUCCUAUCUUCAUUCCCACUUGUAGAGUGCUCUGACAGAUAAAACUGACACGCUUGAUGAGGACACAGUCAAGCUUUAAAAGCCCGUGUGAUAAAGCAGUCUUCAAUUACUACGGUGUCUGAAUUGCAAGAAGUGACCCUCCACUUAAACAUGUGAUAUCUAAACUGUUUUGUGUUUUAGUUCAGCUUUUUAUAGGUUUAUCUUAAGUUGGUUAAAGGCGGAGUGCACUAUUUUUGAAAGCCAAUGUUAACAUUUCAAAUUACCUAAACAAACAUGCCUCUACCCCAAUAGAAUCUGGACCUUCUUUUGAUAGAGCCACCACACACAUACGCAACCCCGGCAAGGAUGUCGGUUAGUAGACACGCCCCUUACUGCUGGUUGGCUACAAGUGUGUUUUGGUAGUCGGCCCAAUUUCCUUUUCCAAAGCGUUUUUCAAACAUUGUGCACUCCGUCUUUAAAUUGCAUUUAAAACAUUUUUUUUUCAGUAACUUUUUAUUCAGAGAAUUACAUUAUGAUUAUUAUAUAAUCAUUGCUUAUGAAUAUUUAGUGAUUGCAUAUUCAUAGUGUACUUUUCAUUAAUACAUUUAAUGUUAAUGUUGUACAAUUUGAUAGAAGUAGCUCUGUAAUUGCAUUUCUCUGAUAUUUGUUUUGUUUCUCUUUGGUCAAGAGAUUAUGUAUGUCUCUGUGCUUGAUUAAUUUACUUUAGGUAUUUUUGUAAUGUACACAACACA